rnacentral:rRNA from 1 species
AAAGAUUAAGCCAUGCAUGUCUAAGUAUAAGCAAUUAUACCGUGAAACUGCGAAUGGCUCAUUAAAUCAGUUAUCGUUUAUUUGAUAGUACCUUACCACUUGGAUAACCGUGGUAAUUCUAGAGCUAAUACAUGCUAAAAACCCCGACUUCGGAAGGGGUGUGUUUAUUAGAUAAAAAACCAAUGCCCUUCGGGGCUCUUUGGUGAUUCAUGAUAACCUAACGGAUCGCAUGGCCUUGCGCCGGCGACGGUUCAUUCAAAUUUCUGCCCUAUCAACUUUCGAUGGUAAGGUAUUGGCUUACCAUGGUUUCAACGGGUAACGGGGAAUUAGGGUUCGAUUCCGGAGAGGGAGCCUGAGAAACGGCUACCACAUCCAAGGAAGGCAGCAGGCGCGCAAAUUACCCAAUCCCGACACGGGGAGGUAGUGACAAUAAAUACUGAUACAGGGCUCUUUUGGGUCUUGUAAUUGGAAUGAGUACAAUUUAAACCCCUUAACGAGGAACAAUUGGAGGGCAAGUCUGGUGGACAUUCAGCUCCCAUUCUGCUGACGCCAGAGAUAGUCGGGCAUCUCCAUCUCGAUGGAGGUGUUACGCCGGCUAGUCGAUGUACCUGAAUCCUUGAUGGGGAGGUACCGGCAAGACAACCUGGAUCGGGGAAGGCUAAGGUGCCGGAAGGUGCUAUGCUAAUCCCGAGCAGAGCUACCAUGGAGCGAUCUGUGGAUAGCCUGUGUAGAGCACGCUAAGGUGUCGGCCAGCUCACGUAGUUGGCUUAAGGGACGUGCCAUUCCCAUCCGAAAGGGUGGCUGCCAGCAAUAGCGCCCAUCACGCGAAGGCUGGCAGGUUCAAACAUUGUGCUCUCGUGCAAAAUGUUUGAGUGUUGAAAUAGGCCAGCAGCCGCGGUAAUUCCAGCUCCAAUAGCGUAUAUUAAAGUUGUUGCAGUUAAAAAGCUCGUAGUUGAAACUUGGGUCUGGCUAGCGGGUCCGCCUCACCGCGUGCACUUGUCCGGCUGGACCUUUCCUUCUGGAGAACCUCAUGCCCUUCACUGGGUGUGUUGGGGAACCAGGACUUUUACUUUGAAAAAAUUAGAGUGUUCAAAGCAGGCCUUUGCUCGAAUACGUUAGCAUGGAAUAAUAGAAUAGGACGUGCGGUCCUAUUUUGUUGGUUUCUAGGAUCGCCGUAAUGAUUAAUAGGGAUAGUCGGGGGCAUCAGUAUUCAAUUGUCAGAGGUGAAAUUCUUGGAUUUAUUGAAGACUAACUACUGCGAAAGCAUUUGCCAAGGAUGUUUUCAUUAAUCAGUGAACGAAAGUUAGGGGAUCGAAGACGAUCAGAUACCGUCGUAGUCUUAACCGUAAACUAUGCCGACUAGGGAUCGGGCGAUGUUUCUAUCUUGACUCGCUCGGCACCUUACGAGAAAUCAAAGUUUUUGGGUUCUGGGGGGAGUAUGGUCGCAAGGCUGAAA